GAGCGCAACCCUACUCAUCUGUUGCCAGCAUUUAAGGUGGGGACGUCAGAUGAGACUGCCGGUGACAAACCGGAGGAAGUGGGGACGACGUCAAGUCAUCAUGGCCCUUAUGUCCUGGGCUACACACGUGCUACAAUGGCCGGUACAGAGUGAAGCGAAACCGCGAGGUGAAGCAAAACGCAGAAAGCCGGUCUCAGUACGGAUUGGAGUCUGAAACUCGACUUCAUGAAGUUGGAAUCGCUAGUAAUCGCGCAUCAGCAUGGCGCGGUGAAUACGUUCCCGGGCCUU
rnacentral:rRNA from 1 species